ACGUAGGGUGCAAGCGUUGUCCGGAAUUAUUGGGCGUAAAGAGAUCGUAGGCGGCUUGUCGCGUCUGCUGUGAAAACCCGGAGCUCAACUCCGGGCCUGCAGUGGGUACGGGCAGGCUAGAGUGUGGUAGGGGAGAUUGGAAUUCCUGGUGUAGCGGUGGAAUGCGUAGAUAUUGGGAGGAACACCAGUGGCGAAGGCGCCUUUCUGGACUGUGUCUGACACUGAGAUGCGAAAGCUAGGGUAGCAAACGG
rnacentral:rRNA from 1 species